GAUGUGAUUAAAUAAGAAAUAUUAUAUCAUUCAGCCUUUGGUAGAAUGCAUUUACUAUUGUUGUUUCCUGAAGAAGGGCUUCUGACAAACGAGGAGUUUCUCGUUGCUGUUACUUGGAAUUUCCGUCACUCGUGCUUCCCAUUUCAGCUGCGAUGCUAUAGAUCUCGCUGUUUCUAUGAGAGGAGCAGCAUCGCGGAGUAUAAUCCAGCCCUCUGGCCUUAAAAUGCGAUCUAUCUCCAAG
rnacentral:misc_RNA from 1 species